rnacentral:rRNA from 1 species
AACGUAGGAGGCAAACGUUAUCCGGAGUUACUGGGCGUAAAGGGCUCGUAGGUGGCCAACUAAGUCAGACGUGAAAUCCCUCGGCUUAACCGGGGAACUGCGUCUGAUACUGGAUGGCUUGAGUUCGGGAGAGGGAUGCGGAAUUCCAGGUGUAGCGGUGAAAUGCGUAGAUAUCUGGAGGAAUACCGGUGGCGAAGGCGGCAUCCUGGACCGACAUUGACGCUGAACGGCGAAAGCUAGGGGAGCAAACGGG